UAGGGAAUCCUCCACAAUGGACGAAAGUCUGAUGGAGCAACGCCGCGUGAGUGAAGAAGGUUUUCGGAUCGUAAGCUCUGUUGUUGGUGAAGAAGGAUAGAGGCAGUAACUGGUCUUUAUUUGACGGUAAUCAACCAGAAAGUCACGGCUAACUACGGGCCAG
rnacentral:rRNA from 1 species